CCUACGGGGGGCAGCAGUGGGGAAUAUUGGACAAUGGGGGAACCCUGAUCCAGCCAUGCCGCGUGUGUGAAGAAGGCCCUCGGGUUGUAAAGCACUUUCAGUGAGGAAGAACGCCUGGUGGUUAAUACCCAUCAGGAAAGACAUCACUCACAGAAGAAGCACCGGCUAACUCCGUGCCAGCAGCCGCGGUAAUACGGAGGGUGCGAGCGUUAAUCGGAAUUACUGGGCGUAAAGCGCGCGUAGGUGGCUUGAUAAGCCGGUUGUGAAAGCCCCGGGCUCAACCUGGGAACGGCAUCCGGAACUGUCAAGCUAGAGUGCAGGAGAGGAAGGUAGAAUUCCCGGUGUAGCGGUGAAAUGCGUAGAGAUCGGGAGGAAUACCAGUGGCGAAGGCGGCCUUCUGGACUGACACUGACACUGAGGUGCGAAAGCGUGGGUAGCAAACAGGAUUAGAUACCCCUGUAGUC
rnacentral:rRNA from 1 species